rnacentral:tRNA from 1 species
UGAGGAUUAACUCAGUGGUAGAGUACUUGUCUUGCAUACAUGAAGCUCUGGGUUCAAAUCUCAACACCACAU